rnacentral:rRNA from 1 species
UGGGGAAUAUUGGACAAUGGGGGGAACCCUGAUCCAGCCAUGCCGCGUGUGUGAAGAAGGCCUUAUGGUUGUAAAGCACUUUAAGCGAGGAGGAGGGUACUGGUAUUAAUACUACCAGCUACUGGACGUUACUCGCAGAAUAAGCACCGGCUAACUCUGUGCCAGCAGCCGCGGUAAUACAGAGGGUGCGAGCGUUAAUCGGAUUUACUGGGCGUAAAGCGUGCGUAGGCGGCUAAUUGAGUCGGAUGUGAAAUCCCCGAGCUUAACUUGGGAAUUGCAUUCGAUACUGGUUAGCUAGAGUGUGGGGGAGGAUGGUAGAAUUCCAGGUGUAGCGGUGAAAUGCGUAGAGAUCUGGAGGAAUACCGAUGGCGAAGGCAGCCAUCUGGCCUAACACUGACGCUGGGGUACGAAAGCAUGGGAGCAAACAGG